AGACCCAUCACCGCGCGAGUCGAGUGCAACCACCACCAGUGUGUGUUCAGCUUCCAUCGAGGGAAGGUGUUCUCUCCCGCGCAGCAGUUCGCUUACUCAUGCGCUUCCUGUUCCCUGCAAAUCGUGUUUUUUUUCGUAGAAUUUCCUCCCCGCUACACCCCCGCCGGUGCCUAACCUCUGAUGAUGGCACGCAGCAACAACGUCCUCUCUGAUCGCUAGGUGAGGACGUAGGGGGACUUGAUAAGCCUCGGACUUUUUAGAAAGUCGAGAAAAUUGUACCCCCGGGACUUUGCUUGGCUGUGACCUGCACCUAAGUUGUUGGUGUUAUAUCGUCCGUAGCCAUCGACCUGAAGACUGCAGUGGGAAGUCAAGGACACACACACACACACCUUCGUCCAAGCGUUCAAGAUGGCUACUGUUGCUGCCUGCAGUGAUAAACCCUGGUAGCAGCAGAGAGACAGAGAAAGAGAGAAAAAGAAAAAAAGCGAUGACAACAUAAAAAAAAAAGUCGACCGGAGCGGAGAUGGAUUCCUGGCGUCCGAAUCCGCGAGCACCUCCUUUUAUCCCCAGGCGGUUCUCUGCCCGCCUCGAGGCGGAUGGCUCCGGAGCCUCGCCUCAUAGGCACCGCUACCUGGCCAUGAUUCCGCGAGGUCGCCGGCUGGCUAAAUUUCUACAGUGUGCGUUAAUGCUUGUGCUCGUGGCUACCAUCAUCAUUAAUGUUUCCUUCAUCGUGGAUAAAACACGGCAACUUCGAGCACCGAUGAUCAA